rnacentral:rRNA from 1 species
GAUGAACGCUGGCGGCGUGCCUAAUACAUGCAAGUCGAGCGAAUGGAUUAAGAGCUUGCUCUUAUGAAGUUAGCGGCGGACGGGUGAGUAACACGUGAGUAACCUGCCCCGAACUCUGGGAUAACUGCCGGAAACGGUAGCUAAUACUGGAUACGACCUAGGAAGGCAUCUUCGGUAGGUGGAAAGAAUUUCGGUUCGGGAUGGACUCGCGGCCUAUCAGCUUGUUGGUGAGGUAAUGGCUCACCAAGGCGACGACGUGUAGCCGGCCUGAGAGGGUGCCCGGCCAGCCUGGGACUGAGACACGGCCCAGACUCCGACGGGAGGCAGCAGUGGGGAAUAUUGUACAAUGGGCGCAAGCCUGAUGCAGCAACGCCGCGUGAGGGAUGACGGCCUUCGGGUUGUAAACCUCUUUUAGUAGGGAAGAAGCGAAAGUGACGGUACCUGCAGAAAAAGCACCGGCUAACUACGUGCCAGCCGCCGCUGUAA